rnacentral:rRNA from 1 species
UAGGGAAUCUUCCACAAUGGACGCAAGUCUGAUGGAGCAACGCCGCGUGAGUGAAGAAGGUCUUCGGGAUCGUAAAACUCUGUUGUUAGAGAAGAACACGAGUGAGAGUAACUGUUCAUUCGAUGACGGUAUCUAACCAGCAAGUCACGGCUAACUACGUGCCAG